AACAAUAUAGUGCUUUGGGACAAAUCAAAAAUGAGUAUUAUAUCUACUAUUACAUUCUUCAGAAGUGCUUAUAUUGUUAUCAAAUUCUUGAUAAAAUCUGUUUUUAAUUUUAAAUUCUAUAUUGUCAAAUUGCACACUAUUGUAUUCAUUGAAUAUAUAUAUUCCAAAAUCUUUAAUUCUCUCUGGAUAUCUGAGAAGUAUAUACAGUGCAUUCCACUUAAUUGGACCACCAGAUAAUGGGACUAGCUGCUCAUUAGAACCAAAUUUGCAGAACCCAAUUCAAAUGUGCUAAAUUAAGAAUAAUUUACUCUGUUUAUUAGAACCAGUUUGCUGCUUAUUGGGACCAGUAGAUUCAGUUCAGACUUGUUCAAAGUAUAGUGAAACAGGACAGUGCUGUUUGAAAUUGUUGCAUUUCUGUGCAUAUUACCUGUAAACACUAAUGAAAUCAAUUAUUUGGUAAUGAGGCCAACAAAAGAAGUGU
rnacentral:lncRNA from 1 species